rnacentral:rRNA from 1 species
UUUCCGCAUGGGCGAAAGCCUGACGGAGCAAUACCGCGUGAGGGAUGAAGGAUUUUGGUCUGUAAACCUCUUUUCUCAAGAAAGAAGUUCUGACGGUACUUGAGGAAUAAGCAUCGGCUAACUCCGUGCCAGCAGCCGCGGUAAUACGGGGGAUGCAAGCGUUAUCCGGAUUUAUUGGGCGUAAAGCGCCUGUAGGUUGUUUAAUAAGUCUGUUGUUAAAGACUAGGGCUUAACCCUAGGAAAGCAAUGGAAACUACUAGACUUGAGUAUGAUAGGGGUAGAGGGAAUUUCUAGUGUAGCGGUGAAAUGCGUAGAUAUUAGAAAGAACACCGGUGGCGAAGGCGCUCUACUGGAUCAUUACUGACACUCAGAGGCGAAAGCUAGGGUAGCAAAAGGGAUUAGAUACCCCUGUAGUCCUAGCCGUAAACGAUGGAUACUACAUGUUGCGUUUUUAAUGCAGUAUGGUAGCUAACGCGUUAAGUAUCCCGCCUGGGGAGUACGGUCGCAA